rnacentral:rRNA from 1 species
UACGGAGGGUGCGAGCGUUGUCCGGAAUCACUGGGCGUAAAGGGCGCGUAGGCGGUCUGCUAAGCGUGUGGUGAAAGCUCGGGGCUCAACCCCGAGUCGGCCAUGCGAACUGGUGGACUAGAGCACUGUAGAGGCAGGUGGAAUUCCGGGUGUAGCGGUGGAAUGCGUAGAGAUCCGGAAGAACACCGGUGGCGAAGGCGGCCUGCUGGGCAGUAGCUGACGCUGAGGCGCGAUAGCGUGGGGAGCAAACAGGAUUAGAUACCCUGGUAGUCCACGCCGUAAACGAUGGGUACUAGGUGCUUGGGGGAGCGACCCCCCGAGUGCCGGCGCUAACGCAUUAAGUACCCCGCCUGGGGAGUACGACCGCAAGGUUG